UAAGUAGUAUUUAAAACACGAGAAGGAGUGUUUUAUCAUAUUGAAAACGCGAGGCGCAGCCGAGCGUUUUAGAUAUGAUAAAACGCGAGUUCGAGUGUUUUGAAUUGCUUAAAAUACGACUACAAAAAAAUACUAAUUAGGAUGAACAAUUAUAUAAUCAUACUAAUUAGGAUGAACAAUUAUAUAAAGAAUACUAAUGAAGAUGAGUUUUAUCAGAUAU